UUGCUGAGAAAAAGGUUCUCUAUUUGGCCUUGCCAUUGUUUGUUGGUGGUGGGUUGAUUGCUUGGUAUGUGCACCAAUGGAAGAAUUCCUAUAGGAGUCCAUAUCUACAACCACGCCCUAUGGGUUACCAGCGGCAUUAUCAUUGGAGAGACCUUAAAUCUUAUGCUGGUUUGAUUCUGGAUGGCUUUUUACUCCCGCAGAUAAUGUUCAACGUAUUCUUGAAUUCUAAAGAAAAUACCCUUGCCUGUACCUUUUAUGUCGGGACAACUAUUGUCCGUUUACUGCCUCAUGCGUAUGACCUUUACAGGGCUCAUAGUUCCACCUGGUCCCUUGAUUUAUCAUACAUAUAUGGAAAUCACAGGCAGGAUUUUUAUUCCACUGCAUGGGACAUCAUUAUCCCACUUGUUGGUCUGCUGUUUGCUGCCUUUAUUUACUUGCAGCAGCGAUAUGGUGGCAGUUGCAUCAUUCCCAAGAGAUUUAGAGGGACUCCUGAUUAUGAGAAGGUACCUGUAGUUAGCAGUGAGGAAGUGCAAGGGGAAGCUGUUCACUGAAGAUCUUAUGGUUUGUAUAGUGAGGACUGCUUUUGAUGCAUGUUAAAUACUUUCUUUGUCUUAAACACUCAAUGAUAAUAGAGUUUGUUAUCGCUUUAUUGAUUCAACAUUCUAGAAAUAUAGUAGAUUAUUGUCUAGAUCACUUGAAAAACUUGUGAAAAAAAAAAGGCUAUUAGCAUUUGCAUUUUUGAAUUUCAAGAUCUUCAAGUGAUCUAGACAAUAAUCUACUAU
rnacentral:misc_RNA from 1 species